GGAUCUCCGAAUGGGAAUCCCCACAGCAAUUGCUUCGCGCAAUGGGGAACGCCGGGAAUUGAAACAUCUCAGUACCGGCAGGAAAAGAAAGCAACCGCGAUGUCGUCAGUAACGGCGAGUGAACGCGACGCAGUCCAAACCGAAGCCGCAAGGCAAUGUGGUGUACGGACUGGCUCUCAUCGCCGGACCGUCUUCGUGAAGUCUCCUGGAACGGAGCGUGAGACAGGGUGAAAACCCCGUAACGAAGGCCAGUACGGCGUGCGUCAGCUCCAGAGUAGCGGGGGUCGGAUAUCCCUCGUGAAUUUCGCUGGCAUUCACAGCGAAGACUAAACACUCCUCGAGACCGAUAGCGAACAAGUAGCGUGAGCGAACGCUGAAAAGCACCCCGAGAAGGGCGGUGCAAUAGGGCUUGAAAUCAGGUGGCGAUAGAGCGACGGGGCGUAAAAGGCCUCUCGGAAAACGAACCGGACGCGAGUCCGCAGUAGGAACCGAGAGGAGCCGACGUUCCGUCGUGCGUUUUGAAAAACGAACCAGGGAGUGUGCCUGUUUGGCGAGUCUAACCCGAGCAUCGGGGAAGGCGCAGGGAAACCGACACGACCGCAGCAUCCGCGAGGGUCGCCGUGUUCAAGCGCGGGGAGCCAAGCGGGCACGACCCGAAACCGAGUGAUCUACACGAGGGCAAGGUGAAGCGUGGCGAAAGCCACGUGGAGGCCUGCUAGAGUUGGUGUCCUACAAUACCCUCUCGUGACCUUCGUGUAGGGGUGAAAGGCCCAUCGAACUCGGCAACAGCUGGUUCCGACCGAAACAUGUCGAAGCAUGACCUCCGCCGAGGUAGUUCGUGGGGUAGAGCGACCGAUUGGGUGACCUGACUCCGAGAGGAGUCAGCCACCCUGUCAAACUCCGAACCUACGAACGCUGUCGACGCGGGGAGUCCGGUCUGCGGGGUAAGCCUGUGGACCGUAAGGGAGACAACCCAGAGCCGGGUUAAGGACCCAAAAUGUGGAUUAAGUGCGAUUGAAGCUGGUCUCGAGCCCUAGACAGCCGGGAGGUGAGCUUAGAAGCAGCUACCCUCUAAGAAAAGCGUAACAGCUUACCGGCCGAGGUUCGAGGCGGCGAAAAUGAUCGGGGCUCAAAUCCACUUCCGAGACCUGGCGGCGCCCCUCACAGGGUGAUCCAGUAGGUCGGCAUUCCGUUCGGGUGGAAGCACGGGCGAGAGUUCGUGUGGACCGAGCGGUAACGAAAAUCCUGGUCACAGUAGCAGCGAGAGUCGGGUGAGAACCCCGACGGCCUUACGAGCAAGGGUUCCUCGGCACUGCCAAUCAGCCGAGGGUUAGCCGGUCCUAAGGCCCGCCGCAAUUCGAGCGGGUCAAAAGGGAAACAGGUUAAUAUUCCUGUGCUAUCGUGCACUCAAAGCCGACGCCUCGGGGUCAGCUGAGCCGGGCCUUCGCCCGGUCGAACCGGAGAACGCCGUGGAAGCCGUCACGGCACGAAGCGGCCGAAAUCCGGGAUAGGGAAACUCGACGGUACCUGGGGCCCGUGAAAAGGCAAGCACGGUGACCGUACCGAGAUCCGACACAGGUGCUCAGGCGGAGAAAGCCAAGGCCUGUCGGGAGAACCGACGUUAGGGAAUUCGGCAAUUUAGUCCCGUACGUUCGCAAGAAGGGAUGCCUGCUCCGCGACGGAGCAGGUCGCAGUGACUCGGACGCUCCGACUGUCUAGUAACAACACAGGUGACCGCAAAUCCGCAAGGACGAGUACGGUCACUGAAUCCUGCCCAGUGCGGGUAUCUGAACACCUCGUACAAGAGGACGAAGGACCCGUCAACGGCGGGGGUAACUAUGACCCUCUUAAGGUAGCGUAGUACCUUGCCGCUUCAGUAGCGGCUUGCAUGAAUGGAUCAACGAGAGCGUCGCUGUCCCAACGUUGGACCCGGUGAACUGUACGUUCCAGUGCGGAGUCUGGAGACCCCCAAGGGGAAGCGAAGACCCUAUAGAGCUUUACUGCAGGCUGUCGCUGGGACAUGGUCGCUGAUGUGCAGGAUAGGUAGGAGCCGUUACACAGGUACCCGCGCCAGCGGGCCACCGAGGCACCCGUGAAAUACUACCCGUCAGUGACUGUGACCCUCACUCCGGGAGGAGGACACCGGUAGCCGGGCAGUUUGACUGGGGCGGUACGCGCUCGAAAAGAUAUCGAGCGCGCCCCAAGGUUUCCUCACUCGGGUCAGAAACCCGAGGAAGAGCGCAAGAGCACACGGAAGCCUGACAGUGAUCUCCCCAACGAGGAUCGCUGACGCGAAAGCGUGGUCUAGCGAACCGACGAGGCUCCUUAAUGGGGCCCGUCGAUGACAGAAAAGCUACCUUAGGGAUAACAGAGUCGUCACCGGCAAGAGCACAUAUCGACCCGGUGGCUUGCUACCUCGAUGUCGGUUCCCUCCAUCCUGCCUGUGCAGAAGCAGGCAAGGGUGAGGUUGUUCGCCUAUUAAAGGAGGUCGUGAGCUGGGUUUAGACCGUCGUGAGACAGGUCGGCUGCUAUCUAUUGGGGGUG
rnacentral:rRNA from 1 species